rnacentral:rRNA from 1 species
GAUGAACGCUAGCGGGAGGCUUAAUACAUGCAAGUCGAGGGGCAGCACGUGACUUCGGUCCUGGUGGCGACCGGCGCACGGGUGAGUAACGCGUACAUGACCUACCUUCAAGAGGGGGGUAGCCUUGGGAAACUGAGAUUAAUACCCCAUGUGAUUAACAAAAUAUAAAUUUAGUUAAAUAAAGUUCCGGCGCUUGAAGAUGGGUGUGCGUCCCAUUAGGUAGUUGGUGAGGUAACGGCUCACCAAGCCGACGAUGGGUAGGGGGCGUGAGAGCGUGACCCCCCACACGGGUACUGAGACACGGGCCCGACUCCUACGGGAGGCAGCAGUAAGGAAUAUUGGACAAUGGGCGCAAGCCUGAUCCAGCCAUCCCGCGUGCAGGAUGACAGCCUUCUGGGUUGUAAACUGCUUUUGGAAGGGAAGAAACGCUUUGAUUUACUCAGAGCCUGACGGUACCUUCAGAAUAAGCACCGGCUAACUCCGUGCCAGCAGCCGCGGUAAUACGGAGGGUGCAAGCGUUAUCCGGAAUCACUGGGUUUAAAGGGUGCGUAGGCGGCCUUGUAAGCCAGAUGUGAAAGCCCACCGCUCAACGGUGGAAUUGCAUUUGAUACUGCAAAGC